AAAAAAGUAACAACAGAA
rnacentral:sRNA from 1 species